AUCUGUUUACAAGCCGCGCACCGUGGCAGCGCCCCGCGCCCGCCCACCGCGCGAGGCCGCGGUGCGGCUUCUGCGGCGCCCAGGAGGUUAGGACGCGGGUCCCGCGGGGCCGGGAAGGCCGGCGGACGGCUGGGGCCGGCGGUGUGUGCGUCCCCGCUCGCCCAGGCCGAUCUCCCCGCCUCGUCCUCUUCCCGACCGCGCGGAGCUGUCUGACGGAUGGACGCGUCUCCUCAACUCUGAGCUUCGGUAUCGCCACAAUGUUAGCAUUCGGCUGCUGACGUCGGCGGCUCCACGAGGGACGUAAACACCGGCACGUGCCGCACGCUGGUGACGCGGCGGCGGCGGCGGCGCGCACACCCCGCCCGCGCGCGCCGGCCCCGCCCCUCAGCGUCUCCCCGCCCCUCCCGCGAGCACCGCGCUCCGACCCUUUCCUUCCUCAGCUCCGCCCCCGCCUCCCGCGGGCUGGAGCCGGCGGCUCGCGGGCUGUGGGGUCUGAGUGGGUUAGAGGGACAGGUGUGCCUGGCGGGCCAAGUGGCCUCCGAACCCCGGGAUAAAAGGAGCGAAGGCUGGGGAACUGAGACUUUCCGAACUCCAGUCCUGCAAAGGGGGCCCUCAAAUCUGAGGUACGAAGGUGUCUGACUCACGCCUCCUGCCACCAAAGCGUCUCCCUCAUCAGCCACUUGCCGGGCGAUGUCACAAGCUGCUUCAUUGACUUUCUGCCCCUAAAAUGUCAGAUGUGCUCAAAAUGUCACCCAGAUAAGCACUCCCAGGGACACUGGC